rnacentral:misc_RNA from 1 species
GAGCGGGAAUUUAAAAUGGCGGAAGCAGCUAGCGAUGAUGAUUGCAACGGAGAAAAAUUAAUUUAUAAAGUAAACAACAUUUUGCCAGUUUAUGUUUCACAAGAACACCUGAAGAAGUUUCCACAGUUUCAAAACCUUCUCUUGAAGUUGAGUGAUCAUGUAAGCCCUGAAGGAACUUCUAAACACGUGUUAGAGGAAGUUAAACAAGCAGAGGAAGAACUGAAGAAAGAGAAGCUUGCUUAUUUUCAAGAUCUCAUUGUUUAUGACAUAAUCCAGGAAUUAUUACUUAAUUUUGACAUCAGCAGUCGGAAGACGGUACUCUCUACAGAAGAGAUACAGAUUUAUUCUGACCUCAAAAACUGUUUUAUAAAUGCUGAGCUGACUAACUACCUUGAUGUGCAUAGCAAUGACAGCUCUUUGAACAAGGAAAAAUCAUGCCACAUGCUAGGACUCACUCCAACACUUCUCACGGUUCAGUCACCAGCUGCAGCAGAAGAGAUUGUGAAAAAUAAAAUGGUUCAGCAGAUAGAGGAGAGUGUUUUAAAGAGAUGUAAAGCUAUUUUGAACUUUCUUGGUCAAGGUGAAACAAGCGAUAAGCUUAUCUCUGCAAAGAUGUCCCAGUUGGCCGUGAAGUUGGAUGCUCAGAAACAAACGGUAGAGGAAAGGAAACAGAAAAUAGAUGCCAGUCAUGAAAGGAAGGAUAAGCUUAUCUGGGAACAUUUUCAGACACUUAUGGAGUCAGUUAAUGUCCUUAAGAAGUUACUCUUGAGCCACAGAUUAAAGUCGCAGGUUGACUACGAUUCAAUCACUGGGGAAUAUCUCAUUUCUAAGUGUGAUGCCUUGCUGUUAAAAGCUAGAGUUGUGGAACUUGAAAUUAUGUGCGAAACAUAUACAACAGACUGUGUUUCAGCUCUGAAGGUCAUAAGAGACCAACUCAAUAAAAACAAAACAUCUGUAUCCAAGGAAGUAUCAGAAGCAACGAUGGCAUUAAGUGCUUACGAGUCUGUUGGUGAAGAUUUCGACCGGCUGGUUCAAGAAUACUCGUACCUGAAGGCAGAGAUUGAAAACAAACAGUGGGCACUAAAAGAACUCCAAAAUUCUUAACUGAAAAAAAAGUAACUUCAACAUUCUUGGUUUGAUUUGUGUUAGCACACCAUAAUAUCCAAACAUGCAUGUCAGUCUUAAUAGGUUUUUAUAAUGUCACAUAGAAUCUGCUACAUCAGUGCCUUGGACAUAUCUGAAAUAUUCUUAUUUUUAGUAAAUAUGUAAAAUUGUGGUUUCUGUAGAAUAAAAAUGUCUUUUUAAAUUAAGCUAG